rnacentral:tRNA from 1 species
UGGCCGCUGGACGGUAGGCCGUGGGGAGACCCCCGGAGACCUGGGUUCGAAUCCCAGCCGGGCUACCA